GUGGGGAAUAUUGGACAAUGGGGGGAACCCUGAUCCAGCCAUGCCGCGUGUGUGAAGAAGGCCUUUUGGUUGUAAAGCACUUUAAGCGAGGAGGAGGCUACCGAGAUUAAUACUCUUGGAUAGUGGACGUUACUCGCAGAAUAAGCACCGGCUAACUCUGUGCCAGCAGCCGCGGUAAUACAGAGGGUGCAAGCGUUAAUCGGAUUUACUGGGCGUAAAGCGCGCGUAGGUGGCCAAUUAAGUCAAAUGUGAAAUCCCCGAGCUUAACUUGGGAAUUGCAUUCGAUACUGGUUGGGUAGAGUAUGGGGGAGGAUGGUAGAAUUCCAGGUGUAGCGGUGAAAUGCGUAGAGAUCUGGAGGAAUACCGAUGGCGAAGGCAGCCAUCUGGCCUAAUACUGACACUGAGGUGCGAAAGCAUGGGGAGCAAACAGGAUUAGAUACCCGUGUAGUCC
rnacentral:rRNA from 1 species